UCGAGCGUCAUUUAACCCCUCAAGCCCAGCUUGGUGAUGGGCGCCUGUCCUGCAAGGGACUCGCCUCGAAUACAUUGGCGGCCGGUACGUUGGCUUCGAGCGCAGCAGAAACGCGAACUCGAGCCCGGCGGAUUGGCUCCCAUAAGCUACCAAACCCAAAGUUUGACCUCGGAUCAGGUAGGGAUACCCGCUGAACUUAA
rnacentral:misc_RNA from 1 species